GGUCUUGACAUCCCGGAGACCCUUAGGAAACUAGGGGGUGGCUUCCAUCUGGAAGAAUCUGGAGACAGGUGCUGCAUGGCUGUCGUCAGCUCGUGUCGUGAGAUGUUGGGUUAAGUCCCGCAACGAGCGCAACCCUUGCCUUUAGUUGCCAGCAGUUCGGCUGGGCACUCUAAAGGGACUGCCGGUGUUAAACCGGAGGAAGGUGGGGAUGACGUCAAGUCCUCAUGGCCUUUAUGACCAGGGCUACACACGUACUACAAUGGCCGAUACAAAGGGCAGCGACACUGCGAGGUGAAGCCAAUCCCGUAAAAUCGGUCUCAGUCCGGAUUGGAGUCUGCAACUCGACUCCAUGAAGUUGGAAUCGCUAGUAAUCGUGGAUCAGCAUGCCACGGUGAAUACGUUCCCGGGCCUU
rnacentral:rRNA from 1 species